GGACAGGUGGCAGAGUGGUUGAAUGCAACGGUCUUGAAAACCGUCGUGCGUGGAAGCGUACCGUGGGUUCGAAUCCCACCCUGUCCG
rnacentral:tRNA from 1 species